CGCCUCCUGCAGCAUAAAGUAUAGGAGGUCCAGCCUGCCCAGUGACUACGGGUUCAACGGCCGCGGUAUAUUGACCGUGCAAAGGUAGCGCAAUCACUUGUCUUUUAAAUAGAGACCUGUAUGAAUGGCUAGACGAGGGCUUAACUGUCUCCCCCCUCCAGUCAGUGAAAUUGAUCUAUCCGUGCAGAAGCGGGUAUAAUACUACAAGACGAGAAGACCCUUUGGAGCUUAAGGUACAAAAUUCAGCCACGUUAAGCAACUCCUUAAGAAGCAAGAACUUAAUGGCCAUGAAGUUUUACCUUCGGUUGGGGCGACCACGGAGGAAAAGCAAGCCUCCGAGUGGACUGGGCCAACACCCCUAAAGCCAAAAGAGACAUCUUUAAGCCGCAGAAUAGCUGACCAAUAAGGAUCCGGCUAAAAAGCCGAUCAACGGACCAAGUUACCCUAGGGAUAACAGCGCAAUCCUCUCCCAGAGCCCAUAUCGACGAGGGGGUUUACGACCUCGAUGUUGGAUCAGGACAUCCUGGUGGUGCAGCCGCUAUUAAGGGUUCGUUUGUUCAACGAUUAAAGUCCU
rnacentral:rRNA from 1 species